UUUUAUAGAAUAUGUAUCUUUGAUAUAAAUAAUUGAGUCAAAACAAAAAAUAGUGUGAGAUACAUACAAAAUAACAUCGUACACAGUAUAUAUCUUUAAGCUUACUAACAUGUAUCUUUUUUAUGCCUCUUUCACUAAAACUUAAAAAAUAAGAGGUACAUAUAACAACAAAAACAGAGAACAAAAGAUACAAGAAAUUACUCUGAAGGUCUCCAUAGAUCUUGAAUUUUUUUUUUGAGAUAAUAAUACGCAAUCCCCCCUCCCCCAGUAACUUGAUGAUUAGAGAGUAUUACCAAGGCGAGUAUAGUUGGAUCUUUUCUUCCUCAAAAAGAUGAAUAACUUUAAAUUCAUUGGUCACUGUAUCAUCUUCUGUCGGGAGUUUCAAUUGAUUUUUGCUUUGCUCAGCAAAAUAUUAUUGGAGAAAGCCAUUUUGAUUUCAGAAAUUUUUUCAUUGAGUAGAAGCUUGUCUUUGAAGCUAACUUUUGAUGCAGGUGAGACAUAUAUUUCUGUAUCGUUUUCGUCGCUAUUUGGCAGUUUGGGAGGGAUGGAUAUAAAAUUUUGGUUUGAAUCCAUCAAUAUAGUAGUAUAAAAGUGGUUUUGGAUGGAGUAUUCUAGAGAAAAGACAGAUGAUUUUGCUUUCUAGAGAGAUGAAUGCCAGGUAAAGUUGAUAAUAAUAUAUUGAAUAUGAUUUUAGGGAGAAAUUUUACCUUAAUUCAAAAGCUUGAAUUAGAGCAAAAAAAAAAGAGGGGAUUGAAACCGCAACAAAAUAGAAG
rnacentral:lncRNA from 1 species